GAAUAUUAGUCAAUGAUCAAAAGAUUGAUCUAGUUACUUAGAAAGAUGAAGAUUAUAAUAAAUAUGAAAAAAAAAAUAAUAAUGAAGAAUAUAAAAUCAAUAUAUAUAUAUAAGAAUAAUGAUGGAUAUAUAUAUAGAAGUCUUAACCAAAAUUAGUGCCAGCAGUUGCGGCUAAACUAAGGAGGCAAACGUUAAUCAUUAAUGGCUUAAAGGAUCCGUAGAAUGAUAUAGUAAAAAUACAUAUUAGAGUUAAAUUGAAUAAUUAUGAAAAAUUAUAUUGAGAGAUGAAAUGUGUGGAAAAUAAUUAGACAAAUAAACGUGAAGAUAAAAUUAAAAAUUUAACUGACAUUGAGGGAUGAAGGCAUGAGUAGCAAAACGGAUUAGAUACCCGAGUAGUUCAUGCAGUAAACUAUGAAUACUUCAAAAAAUAAGCGAAAGCUAAAGUAUUCCGCCAGGAGAGUAUAGCUUCAAAGUUGAAAUCCAAGACAAUAGACGGUUACAGUUGUAGGCAGUGGAUUGUGUUAUUUAAU
rnacentral:rRNA from 1 species